AUCUGCUUAAACCUGUGAAGUUGUGAACGACUCUUGCCAGAGAUCACUGUUUAUCCAGGCAACGUAUGGUAUGUGCUGGUACAUAUGACGGCACAAGACAGUACUUGGUAGCAUGUAUUAUUAUUAUUGACAUUUAUAUAGCGCCAACAGAUUCCGUAGCGCUUUACAAUAUACAUAGAUAAGGGAAAUAUUAGAUCUUCGCACUAACCUCUCACCCGGGCGUAGCAGCAGCUGCACUGAGACAGGACCUUACGGAAGAGGUUUUGGCAAGCACAGCCGUGGCGUGGGUUGCCCCCUCUCAUUGCUCCCCAGGCAUGGCGACGCCGAGCCCGGUCCAAAGCAUGCCAGUGAUGAGGCACCCCAGCUCUGCCUUCCAGACAGAAGUAAACCCACCAAAAAACCAACGGGUAUGGAAGGAUUAAAAAAAAAGAUAAAUAUGCCUGAGAGUAGCAGUGAGCGGAUAUACAGUACAGCGUAGUCUCAGAUGUGCGGAGACUGGAGGAUGAGUGAAAGAGGCCAGCUGCUGCCCUCAAGCUGGCUGAGCAAGGCUGGAUGGAAGCUGUGUUCUAAAGUGGCAGCUUCACCGAGCUGUUCUGCUGCUUAGAGCUGCUUUAAAG